rnacentral:rRNA from 1 species
CUCAGAACGAACGCUGGCGGCGUGCCUAACACAUGCAAGUCGUACGAGAAAUCCCGGGCAACUGGGAGAGUAAAGUGGCGCACGGGUGAGUAACGCGUGGGUAACCUACCCUUGAAUUGGGGAUAACUCUUCGAAAGGGAGUUAAUACCGAAUAACAUUUCGAUUCCCACGGGAAUUGAAAUCAAAGAUGGCCUCUGCAUGCAAGCUAUCGUUUAAGGAUGGGCCCGCGUGCCAUUAGCUAGUUGGUAGGGUAAUGGCCUACCAAGGCGACGAUGGUUAGCUGGUCUGAGAGGAUGGCCAGCCACACUGGAACUGAGACACGGUCCAGACUCCUACGGGAGGCAGCAGUGGGGAAUCUUGCGCAAUGGGGGAAACCCUGACGCAGCAACGCCGCGUGGGUGAUGAAGGCCUUCGGGUCGUAAAGCCCUGUCAGGUGGGAAGAAACCUGUGGAUGCUAAUAUCAUUCGCAAUUGACGGUACCGCCGAAGGAAGCACCGGCUAACUCCGUGCCAGCAGCCGCGGUAA